AUCCUUCGGUUCAUGAGCAUGAUGACUGGGUGUUCAUGCUGCAUGCAUGAGAUGUGUGCCUCCCUCCACCCUUGUUACGAUAUCAGCACAUUACCCUUCUGAUC
rfam:Fukomys damarensis contig72405, whole genome shotgun sequence.